AGUCAAGUAAUUAAGUGCAUGUGGUGGAUGCCUUGGCAGUCAGAGGCGAUGAAAGACGUGAUAGCCUGCGAAAAGCUCCGGGGAGGCGGCAAAUAUCCUUUGAUCCGGAGAUGUCUGAAUGGGGGAACCCACCUACUUUAAGGUAGGUAUUGCAACAUGAAUACAUAGUGUUGCAAGGCGAACGAGGGGAAGUGAAACAUCUCAGUACCCUUAGGAAAAGAAAUCAAUUGAGAUUCCCUCAGUAGCGGCGAGCGAACGGGGAUCAGCCCAUUAAGUUAUGUGUGUUUUAGUGGAACGCUCUGGGAAGUGCGAACGUAGAGGGUGAUAUUCCCGUACACGAAAGGGCACACAUAAUGAUGACGAGUAGGGCGAGGCACGUGAAACCUUGUCUGAAUAUGGGGGGACCAUCCUCCAAGGCUAAAUACUCCUGACUGACCGAUAGUGAACCAGUACCGUGAGGGAAAGGCGAAAAGAACCCCUGUGAGGGGAGUGAAAUAGAUCCUGAAACCGCAUGCAUACAAGCAGUGGGAGCACCUUCGUGGUGUGACUGCGUACCUUUUGUAUAAUGGGUCAGCGACUUAUAUUCAGUAGCGAGGUUAACCGUAUAGGGGAGCCGUAGAGAAAUCGAGUCUUAAUAGGGCGUUUAGUUGCUGGGUAUAGACCCGAAACCAGGCGAUCUAUCCAUGAGCAGGUUGAAGGUUGGGUAACACUAACUGGAGGACCGAACCCACUGUCGUUGAAAAGCCAGGGGAUGACUUGUGGAUAGGGGUGAAAGGCUAAUCAAGCCUGGUGAUAGCUGGUUCUCCCCGAAAGCUAUUUAGGUAGCGCCUCGGACGAAUACCAUAGGGGGUAGAGCACUGUUUCGGCUAGGGGGUCAUCCCGACUUACCAAACCGAUGCAAACUCCGAAUACCUAUGAGUACUAUCCGGGAGACAGACUGCGGGUGCUAACGUCCGUAGUCAAGAGGAAAACAAUCCAGACCGCCAGCUAAGGCCCCAAAAUCAUAGUUAAGUGGGAAACGAUGUGGGAAGGCAUAGACAGCUAGGAGGUUGGCUUAGAAGCAGCCACCCUUUAAAGAAAGCGUAAUAGCUCACUAGUCGAGUCGGCCUGCGCGGAAGAUGUAACGGGGCUAAAACUAUGUGCCGAAGCUGCGGAUNNUGCUGGAGGUAUCAGAAGUGCGAAUGCUGACGUGAGUAACGACAAAACGGGUGAAAAACCCGUUCGCCGAAAGACCAAGGGUUCCAGUCCAACGUUAAUCGGGGCUGGGUGAGUCGACCCCUAAGGCGAGGCCGAAAGGCGUAGUCGAUGGGAAAAUGGUUAAUAUUCCAUUACUUCUGUGUAAUGCGAUGAGAGGACGGAGAAGGCUAAAUCAGCCUGGCGUUGGUUGUCCAGGUGAAAGGAUGUAGGCAUGUAUCUUAGGCAAAUCCGGGGUACUCUAUGCUGAGAUCUGAUAGCAAGCUGUACUUGUACAGCGAAGUGGUUGAUGCCAUGCUUCCAGGAAAAGUCUCUAAGCUUCAGUUACACAGGAAUCGUACCCGAAACCGACACAGGUGGUCAGGUCGAGUAGACCAAGGCGCUUGAGAGAACUCUGCUGAAGGAACUAGGCAAAAUGGUACCGUAACUUCGGGAGAAGGUACGCUGUUGUUGGUGAUGGAACUCGCUUCCUGAGCUGACGACAGCCGCAGAAACCAGGCCGCUGCAACUGUUUAUUAAAAACAUAGCACUCUGCAAACACGAAAGUGGACGUAUAGGGUGUGAUGCCUGCCCGGUGCUGGAAGGUUAAUUGAUGGGGUUAGCGUAAGCGAAGCUCUUGAUCGAAGCCCCAGUAAACGGCGGCCGUAACUAUAACGGUCCUAAGGUAGCGAAAUUCCUUGUCGGGUAAGUUCCGACCUGCACGAAUGGCAUAAUGAUGGCGGCGCUGUCUCCAGCAGAGGCUCAGUGAAAUCGAAAUCGCUGUGAAGAUGCAGUGUACCCGCGGCUAGACGGAAAGACCCCGUGAACCUUUACUGCAGCUUGACACUGAACUUUGACCUUACUUGUGUAGGAUAGGUGGGAGGCUUUGAAGCUGGAACGCUAGUUCCAGUGGAGCCGUCCUUGAAAUACCACCCUGGUAAUGUUGAGGUUCUAACUCUGUCCCGUGAUCCGGGACGAGGACCGUGUCUGGUGGGUAGUUUGACUGGGGCGGUCUCCUCCUAAAGAGUAACGGAGGAGUACGAAGGUGCGCUCAGCGUGGUCGGAAAUCACGCGUAGAGUAUAAAGGCAAAAGCGCGCUUAACUGCGAGACCCACAAGUCGAGCAGGUACGAAAGUAGGUCUUAGUGAUCCGGUGGUUCUGUAUGGAAGGGCCAUCGCUCAACGGAUAAAAGGUACUCUGGGGAUAACAGGCUGAUACCGCCCAAGAGUUCAUAUCGACGGCGGUGUUUGGCACCUCGAUGUCGGCUCAUCNNGGUACGCGAGCUGGGUUUAGAACGUCGUGAGACAGUUCGGUCCCUAUCUACCGUGGGCGCUGGAAAUUUGAGAGGAUCUGCUCCUAGUACGAGAGGACCAGAGUGGACGAACCUCUGGUGUACCGGUUGUGACGCCAGUCGCAUCGCCGGGUAGCUAUGUUCGGAAGGGAUAACCGCUGAAAGCAUCUAAGCGGGAAGCCUACCUCAAGAUAAGAUUUCCCUAGGACUUUAUGUCCUCUAAAGAGCCGUUCGAGACUAGGACGUUGAUAGGUUGGAUGUGGAAGCAUAGUGAUAUGUGAAGCUGACCAAUACUAAUUGCUCGUGAGGCUUGACUAU
rnacentral:rRNA from 1 species